UGGGUUUUAUACAGAUAUGUUUUCUGCUUUUUGAUUGUUUCGGUAUAGAGAUAAACCCACUACGGGAUAUAUUGCCCUGGAGAUGCGGCUGCUGGCCACGGCCACAGCUACUGGGCUGUCGGACUCGGCCAGUCGGUCGGUGGUCGGCCAGAAAGGGAGCAGUUGGCCGGACUCUUGUCGACCAUGAAGACGGUAAAGCAGCGAGCUGUCCAACUUCCAGUAUGUGAUGCACCUCAACACGCUGACCAGUCGCUCCUAUAACGACCUGAUGCAUUACCCACUCAGAUCCCGGUGUCGGGCUCGGGGCACCGUAAGGCCAUCGUUUGGGAUUUGUCGCGUUCCACUUUCAUCCGCCAGUCGACGGGGCAUAAUGCGCCGCUUGCGGCCAACGACAUCAACGACCUGACAGGCGACAUCGCCACCUGCACAGGCACUUGGCUCCACCUCUGGUCCAUCUAUAAGCGACGCACUGGCCAGCGUCAUCAUCCUGGUGAGCCAGAUUGGCCACAGGUUCCCAACGAGGAAACGCCGCACAAGUGAGGACGGAAUAGAAACGGCCAAGGCUCCUAAUCUCGUCGAAGAAUCGGAAGAGGAUUCCAUGACGCCAUCCGCCAACAGUUUGUCCAUCAGCUGCGGCGACAGCAGCGAACACGAAGGGCCCGACAGCACUUCUUCGCCCGUCCCGACCCAACCGAAGGAGGGGAGGAGAUUGCAUCGCCGGAACAACCGGAACAACAACAAACGACGGAGCCGUUGCAGACGAGCCGGAGCGAUUCGAGUCUGAACGAACGUUCGUAAUGAUUAACGAGUCUAAAGUGAGGAAGAGCGACAUCAGCAGACGCAAACGCUCAAGGCUAACGUGGUGGCCCCUUUCGUCAGCCAAUAGCCGGGAAAGAAAUCUCGCCACGUCCUGAAAGAAGGAUUGGAUUAUUUAAAUCUCAAACUGGACUGAUUAGAUUUACGGGGGGCGGGGCAAUUUAAAUCACAUGCUGAAGUCAGGUGUGUAGAUGAUUUCUAAAUUAGGUUUUAACAAGCGAUCCACGAUUCAAGUAGACCGAAAUCCCGGAGCGGCUUUCCAGAUCUAAAUCCGGAAACGCCCUUAAAAAUAUAUAAAAAAUAUGGUCAUGUUCGUCUCUGCACGCCGGAUUUACCUGCGUUUGCAGAAAGACGAAAUUCCCGCCCGUUUACGAGAUAUUAAGCGUUAAAGUGUGGUUUUUUUUAAUUUUGUCAGAAAUGGGGGGUGCUUUUACAUCGCUUUUCGGAAAAGCGGGGGAGCUAUAGUAAAAACUAAUUUUAUAGAAAGGUUUAUUGCUAUGUCAACGACCAAAAUCCAAAAGGAAUUUUCUUUCCGGAUUUUAUUGGUUGAGUUAUGACUAAUUUCCUGAGAGGCUCAUUUUCCCCUUUUCCCUCUCUGUCUGGCAGCCAUUUUUAUUGUACUCUCCUCCGCGCCCCUUGCGGAAGCCAGCUUGGUUCCUAUAAAUAUAAAGGCCGAUAUGACUUCUAUGGGUCUAAAAUGAAGGCCAACAGAUAAAACCUUCUGCUUGCUGAGAUUUUGUUAGCUGAGAUAGCAAUAAACCUUUUUAUACAAUUAGUUUUUUCUAUAGCUCCUUCGCUUUUCAGAAAAGCGAUGUAAAAGCACCCCCCAUUUCUGACAAAAUUA
rnacentral:lncRNA from 1 species